AUAGUACUCCCUCCGUCCGAAAAUACUUAUCGGAGGAAUGGAUGUAUCUAGAUGUAUUUUACUUCUACAUACAUUUAUUAUUAUCUAUUUUUUGUGACAAGUAAUUUCGGACAGAUGAAGUAUUAG
rfam:Hordeum vulgare subsp. vulgare, WGS project CAJW01000000 data, contig: morex_contig_44812